AACGAACGCUGGCGGCAUGCCUAACACAUGCAAGUCGAACGAGACCUUCGGGUCUAGUGGCGCACGGGUGCGUAACGCGUUGGAACCUGCCCUUAGGUUCGGAAUAACUCCCCGAAAGGGGUGCUAAUACCGGAUAAUGUCUUCGGACCAAAGAUUUAUCGCCUUUGGAUGGGCCCGCGUUGGAUUAGCUAGUUGGUAGGGUAAAAGCCUACCAAGGCGACGAUCCAUAGCUGGUCUGAGAGGAUGAUCAGCCACACUGGGACUGAGACACGGCCCAGACUCCUACGGGAGGCAGCAGUGGGGAAUAGUGGACAAUGGGCGAAAGCCUGAGCCAGCAAUGCCGCGUGAGUGAUGAAGGCCUUAGGGUUGUAAAGCGCUUUUACCCGGGAUGAUAAUGACAGUACCGGGAGAAUAAGCUCCGGCUAACUCCGUG
rnacentral:rRNA from 1 species